UUGCUCUUCAACGAGGAAUACCUAGUAAGCGUGAGUCACCAGCUUGCGUUGAUUACGUCCCUGUCCUUUGUACACACCGCCCGUCGCUACUACCGAUUGAAUGGCUUAGUGAGGUUUCCGGAUUGGCUUUGAGGAGCUGGCAACGGCACCCCUUGGCCGAGAAGCUGAUCAAACUUGGUCAUUUAGAGGAAGUAAAAGUCGUAACAAGGUUUCCGUAGGUGAACCUGCGGAAGGAUCAUUAUAGAUUGGCCGAAAGGCCGUGUCUCAUCCACACACACCGUGAACGCAACACAGUCUGGCCCUCGAACCGUACCUCGGGACCUGGGCCGGACUCACACCAAACGAAAUGUAAAGAAUGUCAAUCAACGUAACAAAACAAAACUUUCAACAACGGAUCUCUUGGCUCUCGCAUCGAUGAAGAACGCAGCGAAAUGCGAUAAGUAAUGUGAAUUGCAGAAUUCAGUGAAUCAUCGAAUCUUUGAACGCACCUUGCGCCUCUUGGUAUUCCGAGAGGCAUGCCUGUUUGAGUGUCUUAUAAAAUCAAUCCCCACGGGUUUCUGACCUGGCGGUGGACUUGGAGUUGGGCGUCUGCCGGUCACACGGCUCGCCUCAAAGACCUUAGUGGGGACAUCGGCCCACGGCUUGACGUAAUAAGUUUCGUCUUGUCCGGCCCCUGUCGUCCGCUCACAACCCGCCCUCGGGCAACUACUUUAUGCUAGACCUCAAAUCAGGUAGGACUACCCGCUGAACUUAAGCAUAUCAAUAAGCGGAGGA
rnacentral:rRNA from 1 species